UGGGGAAUAUUGGGCAAUGGGCGCAAGCCUGACCCAGCAACGCCGCGUGAGGGAAGAAGGUUUUCGGAUUGUAAACCUCUGUCGCAGAGGACGAAGGAAGUGACGGUAAUCUGUGAGGAAGCCCCGGCUAACUACGUGCCAGCAGCCGCGGUAACACGUAAGUUGCGAGCGUUGUUCGGAAUUAUUGGGCGUAAAGGGCAUGUAGGCGGUUUUGCAAGCUUGGUGUGAAAUGCAUAGGCUCAACCUAUGAACUGCAUUGAGAACUACAAGACUUGAGUUACUGAGGUGGAACUGGAAUUCCAGGUGUAGGGUGAAAUCUGCAGAUAUCUGGAAGAACACCAAUGGCGAAGGCAAGUUUCAAGCAGAUAACUGACGCUGAGGUGCGAA
rnacentral:rRNA from 1 species